rnacentral:rRNA from 1 species
AUUGAACGCUGGCGGCAUGCUUUACACAUGCAAGUCGAACGGCAGCGCGGGCUUCGGCCUGGCGGCGAGUGGCGAACGGGUGAGUAAUGCAUCGGAACGUGCCCAGUAGUGGGGGAUAGCCCGGCGAAAGCCGGAUUAAUACCGCAUACGACCUGAGGGUGAAAGCGGGGGACCGAAAGGCCUCGCGCUAUUGGAGCGGCCGAUGUCGGAUUAGCUAGUUGGUUGGGUAAAGGCUUACCAAGGCGACGAUCCGUAGCUGGUCUGAGAGGACGACCAGCCACACUGGGACUGAGACACGGCCCAGACUCCUACGGGAGGCAGCAGUGGGGAAUUUUGGACAAUGGGGGCAACCCUGAUCCAGCCAUGCCGCGUGAGGGAAGAAGGCCUUCGGGUUGUAAACCGCUUUUGUUCGGGAAGAAAUCCUCUGGGCUAAUACCCCGGGGGGAUGACGGUACCGGAAGAAUAAGCACCGGCUAACUACGUG